CGGUGUAAGAUAUUAUAGAGUAUAGGGAACCGAUAACUUGUUGGGAUUAUGUUGUCCACCUGCAUCUUAGAGCAAUCAAACCACUCAGGACUAAGCAAGCUGAAAUCUCCUCGAAAGCUGACUGCAGCAUUCAGUAAAAUAGCAAAGCUCCUAGGUCAUUUCUUCCUAGGCUGCAUGGCUCACCAAUUGGACAGUCCUGCUUGUUGCAGAUCUGGUUUUCUGUCACAUCACCAACGCAGUCCUUGCCUCCAAACUGGGGUGUGGGGUUGUUGCAGAGACGGCUACGUUUCUGUACCCCUCCUCCACAGGUGACAGAACAGAUGUCCCAUGGUGACCAAGGACCCCAGCCUCCAUUGACUGUAAGAUGAACCACAGGCAACAAUUAAGAUCAACUUUCAAAUCCCUUGUCAUAGACUCUCCUAAGCCCGUUCAAGAAACCUCUGCUUCUCUGACACAUGGAAAGAAUGCUGGGGAAGAGGGCGAGUUUGUUUUUCAUUAAAAGAAGUUGCUGAGCCUGCA
rnacentral:antisense_RNA from 1 species